CCCGGUCCUCCGCGUGGCUAGCGCGCCCAUGUAGCAUUGCCGCCGUGCCGCCCGCGCCCAUCGCCCCUCGGGCCGCGCGCCUCCCACUCCUCCGGCCACGCGUGCCGCGAGCUGCUCCUCCUCUGCGUGCCUCGUGCCCCCCUUGUCCUGCAUGCACGCCUUGCUCCUCCUGCAUGCUGAGGAGAGGAGAGGAGGGAGGGGCACCGUCGGGUGGUAGCGAGGGAAGAGACCUACGCUGGGAGGGGCACCGUCGGGUGGUAGCGAGGGAAGAGACCUACGCUGCCGCCGAGGAUAGAGGAUGUGGCGGCGGGGUGAGGGAGAGAGAUGGAGAGAAAGGGGAUUAGAGGAAGAAGAAGUCUGAGAAUAUUUUGGUCCAAAAUUUUUUAGAAAUACAUCGAAAGGGUAAGUAGUGGUAUGUUUGGAAGAGUUGUAAAAUUGUAAUGGCACGAUUCUAAUAUGACGAAUUGUAAUGGCAGAUCAGUGAACUCGGAUAAUUGUAAUAGUAUGGAUCUAAUUAACCCUAUAAAGAAUAGCUACUUCAUCUCCAUUGGCAGAUCUAGAGAUGGAAUUGAGC
rnacentral:lncRNA from 1 species